GACGUAGGGCGCGAGCGUUGUCCGGAUUUAUUGGGCGUAAAGAGCUCGUAGGCGGCUUGUUGCGUCGGCUGUGAAAAACCCGCAGCUCAACUGUGGGCUUGCAGCCGAUACGGGGCAGGCUUGAGUUCGGUAGGGGGAGGCUGGAAUUCCUGGUGUAGCGGUGAAAUGCGCAGAUAUCAGGAGGAACACCGGUGGCGAAGGCGGGUCUCUGGGCAGUAACUGACGCUGAGGAGCGAAAAGCGUGGGGAGCGAACAGG
rnacentral:rRNA from 1 species